GCCGCCCCGCCCCCCGCCUCUCCCUCAGGCCUCGGGCGGUUAAAAAGUCCACAGCCAAGUUGGCAGCCGUGCACCGCGCGGCCAGUUUUACAGGGAUCCUUCUUAACCACUCAGACUCUUCAUUUCUGGAAUCCUUUUCAUACUUCUACACACACACACACCUUUUUUGAAAGGGUUUAUUUAGAAAUACAAAAUGUGAAAAAUAUCCCUGUCCUGUCUUGUUGCUUUGAUGCUACGGAACCUCGCUCUUCCCCCGCCGGUAUAAGAAUGGCAGUGGAAUUAUCAGAAGGACCUCUGAUAAUGCUGCUUCCUGACUGUCCAAAGCAAGAAUGUUCAUACAGCAGGAAAUUCAGUAUUUGGAAGAGUCUCACCACUGGGGUCUCUCACCUCUGCUUCCCUAGUAGAUGAAUCUGUGUUUGAAUGCUGCCUUGAUCUUUCUAACCUUGCUACCUCUAGAUAUAUGGGAUUCACUUAGAUCCUAUCCUUGUGGAUGGACCCUUGAUCGCUUUCAGUAGCUCUAUUGAACUGAAUCCAAGGAAAAAUGGUGAUUUAUAGCCGAUAAACACAUUUUGUUAAAAGAAGAUGAGAUCUGUCAUGUAUGAAAAUUAUAGCUCAAGGAGGAAAGAAAACAUAUUCAGCAUUAGUCAACAUGUCCCUGCUGUGUGUGGAGUGCUCUUCUAAAUUCUGUGGGGUGUGAUUAUGGCAGUAUUUCUUGGAGAAGAAUGCUUUACAAAGGAGAAAUGGGUUAAACACGUGUGUGACAGAACUGCAACUAAGUGACUGGAAGGGCUUUGGACUUGGACUGAAACUACACCACCAGAUUUCCUGGGUCACCAGCUUGUAGGAGGCCGAUCAUAAGACUUACCAGCCUCCAUGAUCACAUGAGCAGUGGAAUGCCCAAGAUCGAGUCAAAUUGGACAACAGCUUUGGUAGAGGGAGGGGUUCAAGCUUCAGAAGGGAUUCUGGACGUUGGAUUAGGUCACCUUCAAUGUCUCUGCUAACUCUGCUAAGAAUCUGUGAUUAAUAGUGGACUGAAAUGCCCAGAAACCUAGAGCUGAAGAAAACCUGGUGUGAGAUGGAUUUGUGUACAUUCUACUUUAACAGAGCAAAGGAAUCACUUCUCAGUUCUGUUUUGUAGAGGAGCUGGUCCUAGAGUUGGAAGGGACAUGGAAAGGAAUUGUCAGGGCAGGGCUAAUGAUGAUUAUGACAUAUGUGGAGGAGGGCAGAGUGGAGCUUUGAAGAGUGAUAGGGCUAGGAGAAGUGGACUUUAGGGAGGACAGCUACUGGGAAAUUGGGCUGUUGAGUUUGGCCAGUAGUCUCAACAUUCCAGCUCAAAAGACCAUGAGGAAAGGGUGAUCUGCCUAAGGAAAAAGAGCGUGGUUCGGAUUGCGGGGCUGACCGCGGCGCCACCCGCGAGGCCACCGCAGAGCCCGAAGCGCCGCCCUUGGCGAGCCGGAACCUCCCAGCCCCGGAGCCUCCCUGCCCCGGAGCCUCCCUGCCCCGGAGCGCCGCGCACUCAGCACACUUCAGCACACUUCAGCACAGGACGAGUUCCAAGCGCUCUGGACGCCCGUGGAGGAUCGCCGCUCCCCACUUUCGCCUGCCUCCGGAGGUGGGAGCCGCCUGCGACCCCGAGCCAGCGCAGCGCACGCGGGACACCGCGCUGCACGCGCGCCUUGGCGCGGGAGAGAAUAUGGGUUUUGCCACAAGAAGAUGGUUCUACCUACCACUGGGCUGCAUGAUGCUGAUCAGUCUGAUUAAUGCUGAUUUUGAAUUUCAAAAGGGGGUGCUUGCUAGCAUCAGCCCCGGCAUCACAAAAGAUAUUGAUUUCCGGUGCUGGAAUGCUUGCUCUUUGACACUGAUAGAUCUCAAGGAACUCAAGAUACAGCACAGUGUGGAUGCUUUCUGGAAUUUCAUGUUGUUCUUGCAAAAAUCCCAGCGGCCUAGACAUUAUAAUGUCUUCUUAAGCAUAGCUCAGGAUUUCUGGGACAUGUAUGUAGACUGCUUGCUUUCACGAUCUCAUGGAAUGGGCAGAAGACAGGUGAUGCCUCCCAAGUAUAAUUUUCCACAGAAGAUAACAGAAGGACUGGAUUUUACAAAACAUGAAUAUUACGUAUAAGAGAGAGAACAUGGGAAAAUACCUCAAGCAAGAAUCUCAUCCAGGACACUUUACAUUGAGUUAUCUUGUCUCCUUAGGCUCUAAGAAGAUGACCUUGACAGUUUUGAGUACUGGUCAGGGAGCUUAACAACUGAAAAAGGAGCUUAUAGUCUACAAAAUGAUGCAAAGAUUUAUUGUUCUUAGCCAUGGACACUUCAUCUUGAUUCUGUAUCUGGUAUACUUGAGGGCUUCUUGUGAGGAAGAGGAACAAAAUAUACCUUCCAGUAUCUUGGUGGUGGCAAUGAUAGAGAAAAUGAUUCAGGAGAUGCAAAGUUCCCUGAUUAUGCUACCUUCACAGAUGGGGAUAAUAGAAAAUUCCUUGAGGAAUGUGAGUUUGGGGAAAGGAAAGAGGAAGAGGAGGAUGAAGAAGGAAGUAGGAAAAGUCAGAGAGAGCGAGAGAGAGGCAGAGACACAAGGCAGAGGGAGAAGCAGGCUCAACGCAGAAAGCCGGAUGUGGGACUCCAACCCCGGGUCUCCAGGAUCACACCCUGGGCUGCAGGUGGCGCUAAACCGCUGCGCCACCAGGGCUGCCCCAACAUUUGCUUUUAAUAACAGCGAUGUUUUACUUUGACCAGCAAAUUUGUUGCAAAUGUUUUUGCUGCCCAGUAUUUAUAUUCACAUAUGAUAACAAUAUCUUGAUUUCCCACCCCAUCCAUAUAUUUUGGUUGGAGUUAGCCUGCUUCUGGCUCUGGGAGUAGGCAGUACUGAUCUGACCAAAGUCAUGGUGAAUGGCUCAGGAGUGGGCAUGUGGCCAGUCAAGGGUCCCAAGACGCAGAGGCAGUUGCAGAGACUGUUGAAAGACAGGCACGUAUUCUUCUCUGCUGGGUAUCAACUCGGGAGAAUACAAUUCAGGGACUGUUAGGGAAGGAGAAGAUACUCCUCACAGAGUUUCAGUCCCUAGAUGCAGCAAUGCCUGCAGUCUAAAUGACCUCUAGUUUUGAUAGCUAUAGAGCCUGUAAAAGUUUUUAUUGGCUUAAAACAGAUGGAGUAGUUCACAUGCAACCAAAGGAGUUUUAACUGACACAAUAUGUUUUACAAUUUCAAUUAAGAGAAUUAGUAAUCUUUCCAAAGAAAUUGAUGACAAUUCUUCUGAUGCUAUAUGUAGGUAUUUUCAAUACAAAUAAAUUAUAUGUGCUUACUUUUAUUUUUUCAUAGUAUUUUACUAAAAUAUUUGCUUUCUGUUUAUAAAGAUAUUUUUAACUAAAAAACUAUAAGCAAAAUUUAUUUCAGAAUGCCUGUAGAUUAUUUUAUGUAGGAACACUCUUCUUUGACUCAUUCACAGUUUUCACUGCUUUCACCUUUUGUAGGGCUCCUCCACGAAUAGGGAGUUUUUUAAGAGCAAUAUCUGUAUCAGCCAGAGGUCCUCCCAGUAAUCGGGCAGGGGUGCUUUCCACUGUUACUACCCGACCAGAAGGCACCUGAAAAAGCAAAAGCUCUUGUACCCAGUAAAGCAGGACUAUGACUAUUCUUUCAGAAGAACAUAGGCACAGGAGGACAGAAUAUAAGGAAAAGUUGCAUCAAAGUUGAGAGCGAGAAUUUGAUUACCAACCACUAUACCAUGGGUUCAGGAGUUCAAUACCUUACUACUGACAGUAAGGUAAUAACACGAAAUGUGCUAGGUGUGGGAACAACAUUGCUCUGACCUCAAGUAGCUAUCAGUCUGGCAUGGAAUACAAGUAAUACAGAUAACAUGCUACAAAAUGCUCCGUGGAUGCUGAAAAAUAUGCUCUGGAAGCACACAGACUGGAGGCACAGAAAGGCAGGGGACAGCUUCUGGAAGAAGUAAUCUGUGGGCAGAGGUAAGUAGGAUUUGUGAGAUGAACUGAAGGUUUGAGAGAUGGAGAUGGGAGAGUAGCAUGUGUGAAGGCCUGGAGGCAAGAGAUAAUAAGACACUGAGAAGAUGGGGAGGAGUUCACCAGGUUGGAGAAGACCUUGCAGGGGAUAGUGGCUACAGAUGAUGCUAAUUAGAUAAAGACAGGUCAAAUUGAGGUGGGAAGCAGAGGCAAAAGAAAACUUAAAUUUCCUUCCUACUUACAGCUCAUUCACAAGUCCUUGAAACAGGCAGAGUGACAUUCCUCUAGGGACCCAGCUGCCUUAGUCAACAUCAAUACUUUCCAAAGGGAAAAGGCAAUCUGCCCCAAACUCCCAUAGUCCUGUAGUCUACUUUAACAUAUAAAAAAUUUUUUUAGGGAUCCCUGGGUG